rnacentral:rRNA from 1 species
CAGUAGCCACGGUAAUACGUAGGUGGCAAGCGUUGUCCGGAAUUAUUGGGCGUAAAGGGCUCGCAGGCGGUUUCUUAAGUCUGAUGUGAAAGCCCCCGGCUCAACCGGGGAGGGUCAUUGGAAACUGGGAAACUUGAGUGCAGAAGAGGAGAGUGGAAUUCCACGUGUAGCGGUGAAAUGCGUAGAGAUGUGGAGGAACACCAGUGGCGAGGGCGACUCUCUGGCCUGUAACUGACGCUGAGGAGCGAAAGCGUGGGGAGCGAACAGGAUUAGAUACCCCUGUAGUCCCUGUCUCUUAUAC